AAACAGUGCAGUGACUGAAGAGAAUUCUCUCCCGUUUCCCAUGAUUUAUCACAGGCGAGGUCACGGCAGGUUAAAAUACUUGAACGCCGCGAUAGCAUACGUCCUGGCAUGGUUUUAUGAGUAGUCAUUCAUAACAUAUUUGUCGCAAAGCAUAAUUUCCAAGAUAGAACCCUGAUCCACAUGCAGUUUUUUUUUUCACAGCAACAACACAGGCGCAGUAACUCCUUCGUGGAGGCUGCUUCCAUUUUCACAAUGUCCAGCUCCACGCUAGAGCUUCGGGGAAAGGGACCGAGGAAGUGACUGGUUCGCCAACUGAAACUCCCUGGGACAGACAAGACUGGGAGCCUUGGUGAAAGGGAGGAGACCCUGUGUCCCCGGUUUUGCCAAAUCAGCCUGGCCCAUCCUCUGACGGCUAAAUCAACACUCUUUAUCCUGUGGCGACUGAUAACGCAUCCACCGCUUCCUGCCAAGGAGGAAAUCCUGAUGGGACAUUAUCAGGGGCGAGACAUCAUCCGUCAGCCGCCGUCACAGGAACCCAGGGCUCAUCCAGACCCCACGCCAAUCUUUCCGCCUUUAUCUGCGCUCCCCAAAUGCCUCAGCCUGUUUGCUGAUAGAGGAAUCCGGCAUCUCCUCUUCUCAAGGACCCGAAAAAGAUUCUUCGAUAGCAAGAAACUAAGGUAGGCAUUAUGGAGUGUCAAGGAAAUUGGGAACGGGAAAUAGACACAGUGCCUUCCAUCAGGGAGCUUCCAACACUCCCACCGGGAAAAGGGGCAUCCGUGUACACACAGAGACAAGGGAAGCGCAUAACCACAGACCUGUAAUGGGAGGUACCCACCUUCCCGCGUGCCACCUGUCAGAACCCUUAGGGCUCACGUGACACCUGCGUGAGGAAGCAUCCUUCUCCCCUGCGUCUGUGCCCUCCUACCCCACACAGAAGCGAUUUCAUUAUAUUUCCAUCUAGGACUUCCCAUAUGGCUCACGACAUCAUUAUAUUUCUGUAGCAAACUGCAAAGCUAUCACCCUAGCAUAUACAGUAGCAUUUAAGUAACGGCAUAUUAAACUGCAGUCCUCAUUUCCAGAUGCUUUGCUUUAAAUUUGGAUAUAGCUGCAUCCGCUCUUGCGUGUUUUUUCAUUUGUCUCUUCCACCACAUUGAGUGCAAAAUGGGUGCUCCGCGAAUGCUUGCAAGUAAAUGGCUGGGCUGGAAAAGGCCGGGGGCCACGCCAGGAGAGAAAGGGGAACAAACAGGUUUCCAGGGAAGGUGGAUUUUGUGAGACAGUGGGAUGGAUCGCCACGUUCCCCUGAAGUAGGAGUUGCAAACCAGGUCUCCAAGGACCACGUUCAGCCCACCCGCAUGCUUACUGCGUUGGCAGAGUGGUGUGAACUUUUCGCAUGUGAACACCUGUGAUUAGCAUCUGCAUCCCCACUGAGCUGCACUUCCCGUCACUUCCUGCCUGCUCUCUGCAUCUCUGGUACCCGCCUGGUCCCUAAGGCCACCUGAGUUUGUCUCUUGCUCCAGAGCAGCCUGUUAGCUGCUUCCCUCUCUGGAGCUAGGCCUUCCUGGCCAAAACCCCUGGAGGAUUAAAGGACAUGUGUAUGGGUUUCCCCUAAUUUCUCAGCCAUCUCUUUAAAUGUAGAUUAAGAUCUCUUCUUUCUGGAGUUCCCGUUGUGGCGCAGCGAGAAUGAAUCUGACUAGUAUCCAUGAAGUUGGGUGUUCAAUCCCUGGCCUUGCUCCAUGGCGUGAGCUGUGAUGUAGGUCACAGAUGUGGCUCAGGUCCCAUGUGGCUGUGGCUGUGGUGUGGGCUGGCAGCUGUAGCUCCGAUUGGACCCCUAGCCUGGGAACUUCCAUAUGCCAUGGGUACAGCCCUAAAAAGCGAAAGAAAAAAAAAAUCUUUUCUUUCAGGGCCAAAUACAGAUCUGGGAAGAGAAGGGGCAAAGCAGUUAUUGAGGACACCCCCCCCCCAUACAACAAGGCUUUAUUGCCUUUAAUCCCCACGACCAUAUUGAAAUGAAGCGUUACUCAUCCCCAUUUGACAGAUGAGGAGACUGAGACUCAGACAGGUUCCAUAACUUGGCCAAGGCUACAGAGCCAGGAUGUUCCCAAGACAGAACUCAGACCUAGAUCCGUGCGUCCCACCCGUUCCAUCUUAUCACAGCUCAGAGCGGCCAGGGAGGAACAGCCAUACGGAACCUCUGUUUCCCCGCGCAGAAUUCUGGGACAGAGCGUGACACGUGUCCUGAGCAUGCGAGUAAUUCCUGUUUAUCUGCAAUAAGGCGGGCGAGUCAUGUGCAGAUAAUCCAAAAAUAGUUUCUAAUUUUUCUUGGGAUAAAUAUAAAUUUUUGGCACCAGACACCCCUUUCAAAGUGUGUUUUGAUUAGAGUUACACGAAAAGGCGUUUUUAUUCUAUGAGGAUUUGCCAGCCAAUGGGCAGAAGGGAACUAAGAAGCCUGCCAGCCUGACCUUUCUCCCGCCCACCAGCAGAAGGGCUGUGCCCAGUACACAGAGCUGUCAGUGGAAGGACGCGGGGUGGAAGUGAGACAUCUGGGCUCAGGCUGGGUCUCUGCCGCUCUUGAACUUGAAACCUAACUCAACCCUCCUUGUUUCCAGACACAUGUCUUAGGAAAGUUAGAUCGAGUUGUGAAGUGCCUUAGCCACUGUUCCUGGGAAAGUCGGUAGAGAAUUGGAAUUCGUCAUCUAGAGCCCCUAACUUCAUCUCUUUAUAUAUAUAUAAAUGCAUAUAUUUUUCCUUCUUAGGGCCGCACUUGCGGAUAUGGAAGUUCCCAGGCUAGACAUUGAAUCAGAGCUGCAGCGGCCAGCCUACACCACAGCCAUAGCAACGCCAGAUCCAAGCCGCCUCUGCAACCUAUACCACAGCUUAUGACAACACUGAUCAUUAACCCCCUGAUGAGGCCAGGGAUCGAACCCACGUCCUCGUGGAUACUGGUCGAGUUUGUCAACCACUGAGCCACAACGGGAACUCUCAUCUCUUUUCAACGUUAACUUUCCUCGAGAUCCUCAACCCAGCAGCAGGAAUGGCUAGGAACUGAGAUAAAGAGAUAUUUGCAUAUGGCUCAAAGUAUGGAGCAUGCAAUUGCUAUAUCAUGAGUUCUCAAGCAGAGGCAGUCUAUUGCAAGGACCUUCUUUGCCCCCAGUUAUCAUAGGCUGUUUUAAGUUAGAAAACCGAAUAGCCACACUAAAUACUGUAGAAACGCACCUUGCUCAGUAAUACUUGAGAUGUCGCCAUAUUGGAUUAUCCAUUUGGUUGUCACAGAAAAAUUCUUAACUGUCACUGAUGAUUGGUGCCGAGGUAGUAUAUUGCCUGUAUUUCUAUUUCUAGUAAUGGGUUUUAUGUGCUAGGUUUUAAUAUCCUUAAGCCUGGUGAAGUGGCACGGGCAUUUUUCAAAGAAAUAUGGUUUACUUUUUUUUUCAAGUGUCCGUGUUUAUUGAGAGACACAAGUAUAUAAAAUCAAGGCAUGAACAUGACUUGAUAAACUCAAUAGACUUAAUCUCAAUAAUAAGAAGGACCAAUUCAAUGUCUCACCAUUGGUUUCACACCCACAAAAACCACGACAAGGACACUUACAGUCUCUCAAAACUGAUGGGUUUUGUGCCAGUUAUGACGGCUGGGAAACGAUGGGUAAGCAGUGAUCUGUUCAGACCCAGAAAAUCAGCAUCCAUGACUCCCCUCCUUCCGAGAGUGAGUGAGGGGCUUGGAGACAAUAGUGAGGCCAGUUUGAGUCAAGUGGACGCAGGCAGACCCGUGUGAUUUGAGGCAUCUCAUUUACCCUCUCUUGGUUUCCCUCAAAUGCAAAAUUCACUUAUGGUGUGGACUUCCCGAGGCACCCAGCAUAUAAAAAACAUCGGAUUCGUUCAAACCGUGGGGGUCUUGUAGACGAUGGAGUUACCCUCCUGCUCUCGUCCUCGCGGGAGAAUCUGGCUUCUGUCGAAUGAUUUAUUGUGAAAGUUAUUGAUUUAGUGAUGGACAGGUGGGUUUCUUUUCUUCCUUCCGUGUAUCCACAGUAGAUGAAAUGCAUAAAAUGCAAAGGAAAGCAACCCUGCCCUUCGGACUCAGCACCCAUGCUCUUCUGUCCCUCAGUGAGAGGUCAGGGGCAGAAGAUGUGACGUAGCCAGGCGGAGAGUGUGGGGAGGGGAAGAGGCAGUCCUAGACCAUCCGCUUCUAAGUGCCUAAGCUCCAGUCGUCCAAGAUUGACUAGAAUUGUCCAGUGUGGAGAGGAGGGCCGGUCUGCCUGGAAGAGCCAAGCCAUUGUCUUUAAGAUAAGAGCUACAAAGGCCUGGAGCUAAUCAUUAACAUAGGUUUUUAUGCUUUGGUUUUUCUUUUGCUCUUUAGGGCUGCACCCAUGGCAUAGGAAAUUCCCAGGCUAGGGACCAAAUUGGAGCUACAGCUGCCAGCCUAUGCCAUAGCAACACAGGAUCCCAGCUGUGUCUGCAACCUACACCGCAGCGCACAACAACCAUUAAUAUAGUCUUGAAUUCUUACUUACUUGAUCCUAGGUGAUACUCAAGAAUAACUCAGGAAUGGCCCGACAGGAUUCAGUAAG
rnacentral:lncRNA from 1 species